rnacentral:rRNA from 1 species
AAGAAACCAACAGGGAUUGCCUCAGUAACGGCGAGUGAAGCGGCAAAAGCUCAAAUUUUAAAGCUGACAUCUUCGGUGUCCGCGUUGUAAUUUUGUGAGGCAUCUCCGGGUAGGGCGCCGGCCUAAGUUCCUUGGAACAGGACGUCACAGAGGGUGAGAAUCCCGUGCUUGGCUGGCUGUCCCCGUCCAUGUGAGGUGUCUUCGACGAGUCGAGUUGUUUGGGAAUGCAGCUCAAAAUGGGUGGUAAAUUUCAUCUAAAGCUAAAUAUUGGUGGGAGACCGAUAGCGCACAAGUAGAGUGAUCGAAAGAUGAAAAGCACUUUGAAAAUAGAGUUAAAAAGUACGUGAAAUUGUUGAAAGGGAAGCGCUUGAGACCAGACUUCGGUAAGGGGUGAUCAGCCGUCCUUCUGGGCGGUGCACUUGCCCCCCUCCGGGCCAGCAUCGGUUGAGGCGGCGGGAUAAAGGUCCCGGGAAUGUGGCUCCUUCACGGGAGUGUUAUAGCCCGGGUGAAUGCCGCCAGCUUCGACCGAGGACCGCACCCGCAAGGGUUAGGAUGCUUGGCAUAAUGGUCUUCAGCGAC